GCCCGGGUGGCGAAAUCGGUAGACGCAGCGGACUUAAAAUCCGCCGCCCCUCGCGGGGCGUACGGGUUCGAGUCCCGUCCUGGGCACCA
rnacentral:tRNA from 1 species